rnacentral:rRNA from 1 species
UGGGGAAUAUUGGACAAUGGGCGCAAGCCUGAUCCAGCCAUGCCGCGUGAGUGAUGAAGGCCCUAGGGUUGUAAAGCUCUUUUACCCGGGAAGAUAGUGACGGUACCGGGAGAAUAAGCCCCGGCUAACUUCGUGCCAGCAGCCGCGGUAAUACGAAGGGGGCUAGCGUUGUUCGGAAUCACUGGGCGUAAAGCGCACGUAGGCGGAUCUUUAAGUCAGGGGUGAAAUCCCAAGGCUCAACCUUGGAACUGCCUUUGAUACUGGAGAUCUUGAGUCCGGGAGAGGUGAGUGGAACUGCGAGUGUAGAGGUGAAAUUCGUAGAUAUUCGCAAGAACACCAGUGGCGAAGGCGGCUCACUGGCCCGGAACUGACGCUGAGGUGCGAAAGCGUGGGGAGCAAACAGGAUUAGAUACCCCCGUAGUCC